UACGUAGGGUCCGAGCGUUGUCCGGAAUUACUGGGCGUAAAGAGCUCGUAGGCGGUUCGUCGCGUCGGCUGUGAAAACCUGAGGCUCAACCUCAGGCCUGCAGUCGAUACGGGCGGACUUGAGUACUGCAGGGGAGACUGGAAUUCCUGGUGUAGCGGUGAAAUGCGCAGAUAUCAGGAGGAACACCGGUGGCGAAGGCGGGUCUCUGGACCGAUACUGACGCUGAGGAGCGAAAGCGUGGGGAGUGAACAGG
rnacentral:rRNA from 1 species